rnacentral:rRNA from 1 species
CAAUAAGCGGAGGAAAAGAAACCAACAGGGAUUGCCUUAGUAACGGCGAGUGAAGCGGCAAAAGCUCAAAUUUGAAAUCUGGCACCUUCGGUGUCCGAGUUGUAAUUUGAAGAAGGUAACUUUGGGAUUGGCUCUUGUCUAAGUUCCUUGGAACAGGACGUCACAGAGGGUGAGAAUCCCGUGCGAUGAGAUGACCAAUCCUAUGUAAAGUGCUUUCGAAGAGUCGAGUUGUUUGGGAAUGCAGCUCUAAGUGGGUGGUAAAUUCCAUCUAAAGCUAAAUAUUGGCGAGAGACCGAUAGCGAACAAGUACAGUGAUGGAAAGAUGAAAAGAACUUUGAAAAGAGAGUGAAAAAGUACGUGAAAUUGUUGAAAGGGAAGGGCUUGAGAUCAGACUUGGUAUUUUGCAUUCCUUACCUUCGUGGUGGGGUUCCUUGCAGUUUACUGGGCCAGCAUCGGUUUGGAUGGUGGGAUAAUGACAUUGGAAUGUGGCUCUGCUUCGGUAGAGUGUUAUAGCCAGUGUUGAUACCGCCUGUCUAGACCGAGGACUGCGUCUGACU